GGACGAACGCUGGCGGCGUGCCUAAUACAUGCAAGUCGAACGGUCUUUCUAUGGAAGCUUGCUUCCACUGAGAAGAUAGUGGCGAACGGGUGAGUAACACGUGGGUAACCUGCCCAUAAGAGGGGGAGUAACAUCCGGAAACGGGUGCUAAUACCGCAUAGUUUUCUUGAUCGCAUGAUCGGGAAAGGAAAGACGGCCUUUGUGCUGUCGCUUAUGGAUGGACCCGCGGCGUAUUAGUUAGUUGGUGAGGUAACGGCUCACCAAGACGAUGAUACGUAGCCGACCUGAGAGGGUGAUCGGCCACAUUGGGACUGAGACACGGCCCAAACUCCUACGGGAGGCAGCAGUAGGGAAUCUUCCGCAAUGGACGAAAGUCUGACGGAGCAACGCCGCGUGAGUGAAGAAAGGUUUUCGGAUCGUAAAACUCUGUUGUCAGAGAAGAACAAGUUGGAGAGUAACUGCUCCAGCCUUGACGGUAUCUGACCAGAAAGCCACGGCUAACUACGUGCCAGCCGCAGC
rnacentral:rRNA from 1 species